CCUACGGGAGGCAGCAGUGAGGAAUAUUGGUCAAUGUGCGCGAGCCUGAACCAGCCAAGUCGCGUGCGGGAGGACGGCUCUAUGGGUUGUAAACCUCUUUUGCCGGGGAGCAACGGGCGUCACGUGUGGCGCCACUGAGAGUAUCCGGAGAAAAAGCAUCGCGAAACUCCGUGCCAGCAGCCGCGGUAAUACGGGGGAUGCGAGGGUUAUCCGGAUUUAUUGGGUUUAAAGGGGGCGUAGGCGGUUCGUUAAGUCAGUGGUCAAAUUGAGGGACUAAACCCCUUCCCGCCAUUGAAACUGGCGAUCUUGAGUGGAAGAGAAGUAUGCGGAAUGCGUGGUGUAGCGGUGAAAUGCAUAGAGAUCACACAGAACCCCGAUUGCGAAGGCAGCAUGCCGGCUUCCGACUGACGCUGAAGCACGAAAGCGUGGGGAUCGAACAGGAUUAGAUACCCUUGUAGUC
rnacentral:rRNA from 1 species